rfam:Triticum aestivum genome assembly, contig: Triticum_aestivum_CS42_TGACv1_scaffold_329159_4BS
AAUGUACUCCCUCUGUCCCAAAACUCUUGUCUUAGAUUUGUCCAAAUACGGAUGUAUCAAGUCACGUUUUAGUAUUAGGUACAUCCGUAUCUAGACAAAUGUAAGACAAGAAUUUUGGGACCGAGGGAGUACAUG